CUGGAACUUGUGGACCAGCUGGAUUCUCUCUGAGGACGGGACGCUGCCAUCGAUACGGAUGUAACCAGCCUGUGUGAACAGAGGUUUCCUCUAAAUGCAGGAGCGCUGCUGGAGCUGACACAAGCUGAUGCUGAGAAAUCUGCUGGAACACCUUUAGUAUCUAACCGCUGACUCCAGCUCCCUCUGAAGGGCCUCCUCUCGCCCAAACACUAAUGAGGACAUCUUGCUUUGUCCAUCAAGCACUCUCCAUUCUAUUUAAAAUAAUUCCCAAACCAACACGCCAUUGUUGCUGUAUUUCCAACAAGUGCUACUACAGCUGCUGCUUACUACCCCUUUAACACAUUUUAAGGAGAUCCAGA